rnacentral:lncRNA from 1 species
ACGCCGGGAUGUGAGUUCAUGCCCACUGUCAACAGCCUUUCAUAAUACUUUUCUUCCCUACCAUGUCCCACCAUCGGUGUCAAGGUAUUAUCAAAAAACCUUUGAAGCACCACCAAACCCACUGCCUGUCCCUAGGCAGGUGUGGCAUGUUUUUGGUGCCCCCAGUCCUGAGGCUGCUGUGGCCAGGCCAAUGGGAGGUCAGGCCUUGUCAAAGCACUUUGUAAACCGAGGAAUUAGACGUUAUAAAUUGUAUAAGCUGCUUUCUAGGUCAUGGUUUUUAAUAUGCGAUAACAUGAAGCUUUAUAAGUAUACUGUGAACUUGAAGUUUCCUAUCAGUUUGUGGUUAACUCAUAGUAAUGGUAACUCUGUUAGAUUUCAUAUUCUGAAACUAUUUAGGAAAGGAACAUUUAUCUAGUAGUGAAGAACUAGAAUUUUUACAUUUUAAAAUUAAGUGCAAACAAAUAGUAUUUAUAAGCAGAGAGUGGUUAUUGAAAGACACAUAUACAUUUAGAUGUUCUUAAUUUUAUGGAAGGAACUAAUUUUCCUAAACAUGUGCUGGUGCACAUGUAGGUGGAGUUUUAUAUUCCAGUAUCAGAGUGAUAUCCAGAACUGUCACGCACUUAUGUGAUCCGUGGCCACUUCCAAGUGCCUGUGCCUUGCAAGAGAAGUGAAGAAUUGGUUCAUUGGGUUUUCUCUUCUCCCUCGAAAGACAAUUUCAUGCUAAUGAAAAAUGCAGCAGAGGAAUCAGACGUUCAGAGGAGUCCAAGGUCUACUCGGGGAGGAGCUGUGCUCUGAUGUCCUGUCUGUAAUGGCAACGGUGCUUUGUGACCUCUGCGUCGCCUGGGGCGCCCCAGCUUGUGCUGAACAAAGGGG